rnacentral:rRNA from 1 species
UUGACGAGGAACCACGGUUCCGAAGUGAUUGAUACCAAGCUUCCAGGAAAAGCCACUAAGCUUCAGUCUAGAGUUGACCGUACCGCAAACCGACACAGGUGGGCAGGAUGAAAAUUCUAAGGCGCUUGAGAGAACUCAGGAGAAGGAACUCGGCAAAUUAACACCGUAACUUCGGGAGAAGGUGUGCCCCGGUAGCGUGUAGAGACUUGCUCUCGAAGCGCGAUGGGGUUGCAGUGAAAUGGUGGCUGCGACUGUUUAAUAAAAACACAGCACUCUGCAAACACGAAAGUGGACGUAUAGGGUGUGACGCCUGCCCGGUGCCGGAAGGUUAAGUGAUGGGGUGCAAGCUCUUGAUCGAAGCCCCGGUAAACGGCGGCCGUAACAAUAACGGUCCUAAGGUAGCGAAAUUCCUUGUCGGGUAAGUUCCGACCUGCACGAAUGGCGUAACGAUGGCCACACUGUCUCCUCCUGGGACUCAGUGAAGUUGAAAUGUUUGUGAAGAUGCAAUCUACCCGCGGCUAGACGGAAAGACCCCAUGAACCUUUACUGUAGCUUUGCAUUGGACUUUGAACCGGUUUGUGUAGGAUAGGUGGGAGACUGUGAAGCCGGGACGCUAGUUUCGGUGGAGUCAACCUUGAAAUACCACCCUGAUUUGUUUGAGGUUCUAACCUUGGUCCGUGAAUCCGGAUCGGGGACCGUGCAUGGUAGGCAGUUUGACUGGGGCGGUCUCCUCCCAAAAGGUACGGAGGAGUACGAAGGUACGCUUAGGGCGGUCGGACAUCGCCCACAAAGUGCAAUGGCAAAAGCGUGCUUGACUGCGAGACCCACAAGUCGAGCAGGUACGAAAGUAGGUCAUAGUGAUCCGGUGGUUCUGUAUGGAAGGGCCAUCGCUCAACGGAUAAAAGGUACUCUGGGGAUAACAGGCUAAUUCCUCCCAAGAGUUCAUAUCGACGGGGGAGUUUGGCACCUCGAUGUCGGCUCAUCACAUCCUGGGGCUGUAGUCGGUCCCAAGGGUAUGGCUGUUCGCCAUUUAAAGUGGUACGCGAGCUGGGUUUAAAACGUCGUGAGACAGUUUGGUCCCUAUCUGCCGUGGGCGCUGGAAAUUUGAAGGGGGCUGCUCCUAGUACGAGAGGACCGGAGUGGACGAACCUCUGGUGUACCGGUUAUGACGCCAGUCGUAUCGCCGGGUAGCUAAGUUCGGAAGAGAUAAACGCUGAAAGCAUCUAAGCGUGAAACUCGCCUUAAGAUAAGAUUUCCCGGAGUCUUGAACUCCCUGAAGGGUCGUCGAAGACCACGACGUUGAUAGGUCAGGUGUGGAAGCGCAGCAAUGCGUUAAGCUAACUGAUACUAAUUGCCCGUGCGGCUUGAUCCU